CCUACGGGAGGCUGCAGUAGGGAAUAUUGCUCAAUGGGGGAAACCCUGAAGCAGCAACGCCGCGUGGGGGAAGACGGUUUUCGGAUUGUAAACCUCUGUCCUCUGUGAAGAUGAUGACGGUAGCAGAGGAGGAAGCUCCGGCUAACUACGUGCCAGCAACCGCGGUAAUACGUAGGGAGCGAGCGUGGUCCGUAUUUACUGGGUGGAAAGGGUGCGUAGGCGGCUUGGCAAGUCAGUAGUGAAAUCCAUGGGCUUAACCCAUGAACUGCUAUUGAGACUGUCGAGCUUGAGGGAAGUAGAGGGAGGCGGAAUUCCCGGUGUAGCGGUGAAAUGCGUAGAGAUCGGGAGGAACACCAGUGGCGAAGGCGGCCUACUGGGCUUUAACUGACGCUGAGGCACGAAAGCGUGGGUAGCAAACAGGAUUAGAUACCCCGGUAGUC
rnacentral:rRNA from 1 species